rnacentral:rRNA from 1 species
GUAGUUGGGUGGCUCAGAAUGGACCUAAUACUUCCGUUUAAAGUUGGAGAUGCCGUAGAGAUAAGAUCCUAUAAUGUAGGUUACAGGGGUGCAUGGUUCCGUUGCAAGAUCACCGAUAUGUGUAUCAGGAGCGGUCACAUGGAGUGUCAGGUGGAGUAUAUAGACUAUCCAGAUGAAAGAAGGAAAUGGAAUAGACUCUACAAAAUUCCCCCAAAAUGCCGUAAUCAGAAAGCAACUCAGAAUAGGGAGAUCAUGCUACGACCUCCUUUUCCUCAGUGGUGUUGGGAGAAUGAUAUUCGUGAGCAUGGGCCGCAAAUGGAUGUUGUAGCAGUUGUAAGCAGUCCUUGGAAAGUAGGUGACUUGAUUGAUUGGUGGUACACUGAUUGUUUCUGGACUGGGAAAAUUAUCGAGUUGCUGGGUGAUGACAAAGUUAAGAUAAUUUGUCCUGAAAUACCAUUAGGUGAAGGUGGAUGUUGGGUUGCCCAUCCUAAGGACCUGAGGCCAGCGCUUGAUUGGUCCCUUGAAAAAGGUUGGAGCGCCCCUCUUUCACAGGAAAACGGCAAAUGCUGGCAUACUGCUCGUUUGAUUGCAGGGAACCAAGAUACAUUAAGUAGCAGCUCUGAUGAGGAGGACAUUGAGCAAUCUUGUGAUGGUAACAAGGUACUACAAAAAUGCUUGAAUGGAUCAUUUGAUUCAUCGGAGCAAGAAAUAGGAAAAUGCCUGAAUGGAGCAUCUGAUACACCAAAGGAGUUGGUGGAUUCAGAUGUAAAACAUCCAGCCAAUACAAAUGGCAGGUACUGCAUGGAAAGUCAAACAGACAGUGAAGGGGAACCACGAAAAUGCAUGAAUGAAGAGCCUGGCGUGUCUCUGGAGGCCAUCUGUUCAAAAGUGCAACUCGCACCCAAUGAAACUGGUGAGUGUUGCAUGAACAGCCAAGCAGACAGUCCGACGUCUCCUGUGGCCAAUUCAGGUCAGUCUCCUCAGUUCAUUACCAAUGAGCAAUCAAGUCCCCCCAGUUUUAAGAAACUCAAGACCUCAAGUGUGCAUGCAUCAGUUAAGCCUACUGGCACCAUGAGCGAGGCCACGAUGAAACUGCAGGAACUAGUAAACAAAAUCAACACCUCAAGUGAGCAUGUAUCAGUUAGGCCUACUGGCACCGUUAGCGAGGCCACGAUGAAACUGCAGGAACUAGUAAACAAAAUCAGACGGGCCCAAGAUCUCCUGCAGUCUGUUGACUAUGCUCCAUCAAGCAUAAAGCUGGCACAUUGGAAAUUUCAGGAAAAUAACCCAUGGCCGAAGCGUAACUGA